UCUUCCUCAGCUAGUCAACCCCACCUUUCCUUCUCCCCGUCGUCAUCUUUACUCUCUCUUUUUUUCUUUUUUUGUCUAUCUUUUUCAACCCUCGGUCUCCUCUUUAUCCUCAUUCUUCUUCAUUUUUUCUUUCUUUCUUUUUCUCUUUCUUCUUCAUCUUCUUCCUCUUCCCUCAAUUUGGCACUCCCUCAAUUCCUCUCCCUCAGUUCCUCAAUGCACAACGCCUUCUUCCCCUCAUGCGUCUUGAUUUCUGGGCAGUUUGCCAAAGAACUCAUUUUUAGAUCCAAAGUCGGCUCAAGAGCAGAGCUUUGGAGCCUAGUUUGUGGAAAUUGAUUUGUACAGGUGUGUUCUUGGGUUAGUUUUAGCUUUUGGGUGUGUUUUGUUCGUGAUUGUGCUAUCUGGGUGUUCAUUAAUUCAAGCUUUUCUGAUGGUGAACAUUGUUUGCAUCAAGAAUUUGUGGUGCAUUCGUAAGGUGAGUGCAGAAAGGUGUUUGUUUUGAUCUUUAUGUUCAUAGUUUGUGUUAAAAACAAGAACUUCUUUCAUUGGAGUGCACAGCUUCUUUAGCAAGCUUGAUUUAUGAGUGACUGAUUUGUUCACUUGUUUAUAAACUCGGUUGGAUGCCCAACCAACCGAGUCUCUUGGUAUACCGAAAUGUUGGUAUACCGACUUCUGUGGCCGGUAAUAGGAGAAGAUUUUAUGUACCAAACUAGUCCGAUACGGUAGGUGGUUUUGGGCUUGCAACUCCGGUACCGAAUCGAACCCACCCCUAGCUAUUGCAAUGAAAUAUCUCCGAAGUCUCUGGUGUUGAUUGGGAAGAAUUCCCCUAAUCUCACAAUUGUUAAACGGAAUGCAUUGAAUUUGCUAGAUCCUUCUGAACACGUUGGGAUUGUUCCUGAGGAGUAUUUAAAAAUUUGCCCUCAAGAUGGAAAUUCAGAACCUGAUGCAAUUGGCAAAUCAGAGCACAACAUGUUGGUUAGGAUAUGGAAGUGGAGCUGAUGAUGUUAACUAAUAGUAGCUUUUUUUAUUGUUGAAGGCUGUUAAGUUUUGGUGAAGGUGUAAACUUUUACUUUUGGCCAUGACUCCAAUUUGGAGUGAAUUGUUAAGUUUCUAUGUAUGAAACGAUUGUGUAGGACUCGUGAAUUGUUAAGUUUCUAUGUAUGAAACGAUUGUGUAUGACUCCAAUUUGGAGUGAAUUCAUAUGAAAAGUUCCUAUGUAUGAAGAAAUUCGGCAAGGCAUUAUUUACAUG
rnacentral:lncRNA from 1 species